rnacentral:rRNA from 1 species
GAUGAACGCUGGCGGCGUGCUUAACACAUGCAAGUCGAGCGAGAAGUUUUGAAAAGAUUCUUCGGAUGAAAUUUAAAAUGGAAAGCGGCGGACGGGUGAGUAACGCGUAGGCAACCUGCCCCAUACAAAGGGAUAGCAUUUGGAAACGAAUAUUAAUACCUUAUGAAACUUAACUAGUGCAUGCUAGGUAGGUCAAAGAUUUAUCGGUAUGGGAUGGGCCUGCGUCUGAUUAGCUAGUUGGUGAGGUAACGGCUCACCAAGGCGACGAUCAGUAGCCGACCGGAGAGGGUGAACGGCCAAAUUGGAAAUGAGACACGGUCCAAACUCCUACGGGAGGCAGCAGUGGGGAAUAGUGCACAAUGGGGGAAACCCUGAUGCAGCAACGCCGCGUGAACGAUGAAGGCCUUUGGGUCGUAAAGUUCUGUUCUAGGUGAUGAAAACUGACAGUAACCUAGGAGAAAGCCCCGGCUAACUCCGUG